CUACGGGUGGCUGCAGUGGGGAAUAUUUGCCAAUGGGGGAAACCCUGAUCCAGCCAUGCCGCGUGAGUGAUGCAGUCCUUCUUGUUGUAAAGCUCUUUUAUCAGGGAAGAUUAUGACGGUACCUGAAGAAUAAGCACCGGCUAACUUCGUGCCAGCAGCCGCGGUAAUACGAAGGGUGCUAGCGUUGUUCGGAAUCUCUGGGCGUAAAGCGCGCGUAGGCGGUGAUACAAGUCAGGGGUGAAAUCCUGAGGCUCAACCUCAGAAUUGCCUUUGAAACUGUAUUGCUGGAGUAUCGGAGGGGAGAGCGGAAUUGCUAAUGUAGCGGUGAAAUGCGUAGAUAUUAGCAGGAACACCGGUGGCGAAGGCGGCUCUCUGGACGAUAACUGACGCUGAGGCGCGAAAGCGUGGGUAGCAAACAGGAUUAGAUACCCUGGUAGUC
rnacentral:rRNA from 1 species